rnacentral:misc_RNA from 1 species
GUGAAUCAUCGAAUCUUUGAACGCAAAUUGCACUCUCCUCGGAGCGUAUGCCUGUUUGAGGGCCAGCCUAUAAAAAAUCGACAUCGUUGCUGUUUUGCGGUGGCGUUCGUCGGUUACCGGGCCAUCUUAAAUCCUUUUGAUUUAAGUGACUUAAAAUUUUCUUUUGGUUCCAUGAACGUUACUAAGUUCUCUUUCUUUACACGUUAAAGGUAUAGAUUUUUACUAGACGUGAUCAUCAUAUCGGACCGCGGCCAUAAUCUGUCUUUAACUG